AGGUUACUGCUAUCGGUGUUCGCUUAAGCCAUGCGAGUCAUAUGUUCUUCGUGAACAUGGCGUACUGCUCAGUAACACGUGGAUAACCUGCCCUUGGGUCCGGCAUAACCCCGGGAAACUGGGGAUAAUUCCGGAUAACGCACAUAUGCUGGAAUGCUUUAUGCGUCAAAUGGAUUCGUCCGCCCAAGGAUGGGUCUGCGGCCUAUCAGGUAGUAGUGGGUGUAAUGUACCUACUAGCCUACGACGGGUACGGGUUGUGAGAGCAAGAGCCCGGAGAUGGAUUCUGAGACAUGAAUCCAGGCCCUACGGGGCGCAGCAGGCGCGAAAACUUUACAAUGCGGGAAACCGUGAUAAGAGGACACCGAGUGCCAGCAUCAUAUGCUGGCUGUCCGGGUGUGUAAAAUACACCUGUUAGCAAGGGCCGGGCAAGACCGGUGCCAGCCGCCGCGGUAACACCGGCGGCCCGAGUGGUGAUCGUGAUUAUUGGGUCUAAAGGGUCCGUAGCCGGUUUGGUCAGUCCUCCGGGAAAUCUGACGGCUUAACCGUUAGGCUUUCGGGGGAUACUGCCAGACUUGGAACCGGGAGAGGUAAGAGGUACUACAGGGGUAGGAGUGAAAUCUUGUAAUCCCUGUGGGACCACCUGUGGCGAAGGCGUUUUACCAGAACGGGUUCGACGGUGAGGGGCGAAAGCUGGGGGCACGAACCGGAUUAGAUACCCGGGUAGUCCCAGCCGUAAACGAUGCUCGCUAGGUGUCAGGCAUGGCGCGACCGUGUCUGGUGCCGCAGGGAAGCCGUGAAGCGAGCCACCUGGGAAGUACGGCCGCAAGGCUGAAACUUAA
rnacentral:rRNA from 1 species